AGAAAGCCCCAGACGGCGAACAUGCAGCGUUCAUGCUUGCAUGAAACGCUGCAUGUUCAUCGGAUGGGCAGAUAUUCAUGAGCAUGUAUGCCGAUAGGCAGGAAUGCGAAUGAAUGUGCGAUUACGAGAGCCACGAAGUGGCGAAGUAAUCGUAAGGCUUUCU
rnacentral:sRNA from 17 species